AAGAAUCCAGAUUCUGGUGUAUGAGAACCAGGUUAUAAAGUGAGACCCUCAGUGCUGGUCAUCGGGGCUCUACAAUAAACCCAUCCAGGCCCUUGGGAUAAAGGAAAUGAUUGAAUGACUGCGCUCUUUUCAUCUCUCCAUUUUACAAAGCAAAGAAGUUCGCUCAAAGUAGUCCUUGGGAUCUGGGAUAGCUUUGUAAGUUCCACUGCUCUCCUGCCUGCAGAAAUCUUUUCUUGCCCAGUUCAAAUGCUGAAACGGUGCAAUUCAUAGGGACGCAAGCGGUCACAAUUUUAUUGACAAAAAGGAUUUGAUAAAAUGCCUGCAAACGUUGUUUUAUUACCAUGUCAAUGAUGUAGGCUUCACAAGCAUGCUAAAAAGGCCUUUCGUAUCUAGAACUCUUCUCCUUUAUUUUGCUCCGGUACUGAAAAAAAAAUACAGUUGAUUAAAAGAAAUUGUCAUAUGGGAAA